CUUCCAUAACCUCCUCGGCUUAGUCCUCUUCUGCUGCUGCGUCUUGCUCCACAUCAACGGAUAGGGGGCGUAACAGUGAUUAAACUGAUAACAGUAGUACUAAACACACCACUCACUCACUGGUGUCACAAUAGCUUGGAUUUAAAAACAAAUUUUUUUUUUUCACUGUUAUAGAUUGAAUAGCAGUUAGUUAUCUUCAAGCAGGUGUGUCAGCCCUACAGCGUGUACUCUGCCAGUACGCUGCCACCUCCUCUACUCC